GCCAGAGUGGUACAGUUGUUUGAGCAUUAGACUAUGACUCUAGCAAUCAGGGUUCGAUUCCCUGCUCAGCUA